rnacentral:rRNA from 1 species
GCGCAAGUUUUUAAGGGCGCACGGUGGAUGCCUUGGCACCAGGAACCGAUGAAGGACGCGAGAGGCCGCGAUAGGCCCCGGGGAGCUGUCAACUGAGCUGUGAUCCGGGGGUGUCCGAAUGGGGAAACC